ACGACACUCCGGAGAAUCCCAUGACAGAUGGGUGCCGAAGGUGCAAGCGCGCAAGCGUCAAUCUCUCAGGCAAAAGGACGGAGAAU
rnacentral:ncRNA from 1 species